GAAAGAUGGAUCACUUCUGUCACACAAGGAGGAGCAGUUUCUCGCAACUAGCGAACGAAAUAAGAGGUAGAGCAAUGAUCCUAAACUAACACUUUCACCCAGAUGCCUCAAAACGUGCACAAUCAUUGAAAUCCUCUGGUGUUCAGAUACCUGAGGCAGAAUACUCACAAAGAUCUGAAGCAACGCGUCUGCACUGUCAGUUUUA
rnacentral:misc_RNA from 1 species